CACGGAGUUAGCCGAUCCUUAUUCCUACAGUACCGUCAAUCUGGCUCACGAGCCAGGGUUUCUUCCUGUAUAAAAGCAGUUUACACACCAUAGAUGCUUCAUCCUGCACGCGGCAUGGCUGGAUCAGGCUUGCGCUCAUUGUCCAAUAUUCCUCACUGCUGCCUCCCGUAGGAGUCUGGUCCGUGUCUCAGUACCAGUGUGGGGGAUCUCCCUCUCAGGACCCCUACCCAUCAUAGCCUUGGUAUGCCGUUACCACACCAACUAGCUAAUGGGACGCAUGCUCAUCUUGUACCGAUAAAUCUUUAAUAUAAUAAGGAUGUCCUAAUUAUAUACUAUAAGGUAUUAAUCCAAAUUUCUCUGGGCUAUCCCUUUGUACAAGGCAGAUUGCAUACGCGUUACGCACCCGUGCGCCGGUCUCAAGGCCCGAAAGCCUCUACCCCUCGACUUGCAUGUGUUAAGCCUGCCGCUAGCGUUCA
rnacentral:rRNA from 1 species